rnacentral:rRNA from 1 species
UACGGGGGGAGCAAGCGUUGUUCGGAUUUACUGGGCGUAAAGGGCGCGUAGGCGGCCACCGCAAGUCGACUGUGAAAUCUCCGGGCUUAACCCGGAAAGGUCAGCCGAUACUGCGGGGCUAGAGUGCAGAAGGGGCAACUGGAAUUCUCGGUGUAGCGGUGAAAUGCGUAGAUAUCGAGAGGAACACCUGCGGCGAAGGCGGAUUGCUGGGCUGACACUGACGCUGAUGCGCGAAAGCUAGGGGAGCGAACGGG